GUGUCAAAAUUUGAUUGGUGGGUCAGCCAUGAGGACAGAGAGAUAGGGACAGCAAAUCUAGACUCGUUUGUACGUGUAUAUAGCCAUACUGAUCCUGUUAAACUUCUUCGGUUCAGGUCUGUAUUGCGUGGGGGAUCGACAGCUCUAUUCAUGUUUGCCUAUUGCAUAUAUUUCUACCUCAAAUCAAAUAUGAGCGGUGUUUUGCAAACAUUCUUCUUUUUCGGCUACAGUGCUUGCAUGUGCUAUGCAUUUUUCUUGAUGCUUGGAGCAUUGAGUUUUCGAGCUUCUUUAAUUUUUGUUCGGCACAUAUACCGUGGUGUCAAAAGUGAGUGAGCUUGCAGUUGCUCGGUGCCAUGGCAGACGACCUUUGGAAGUUUAGAAAUCAAAAGACCAAGAAAACAUGUACUCGAUCUUUUAAUUUGUACAAAAUUGGUUGACAGUAUACAAUGUUAGAUGCUUUGAAAUUGUCAUUCGUGACAUCCAAUUCCCGAUUCUUAUACACGAGUACCCUUGCCUUUUAAAUUGUUUUAGGAGAAUAUUUUUUCAUAUCAAUUCUGGUCUUUGGUUGAUUUGUGGAAAAUACUGGUAGAGGUUUGACUUUAGAGCUUGUUUAUGAUGGUUGUAAUGGGUUGAUUUCAAGAAUUGGCAAAAAGAAUUGCGAUGUUGAAUGAACUUCAGUUAUUUCUUUUCA
rnacentral:lncRNA from 1 species